GGCCGGGAACCAUGCAAUUGGCGGAGUCGCCAACCCCGCCAGGUUCGGAAGGAAGCAACGGUAACGAUUUUCCCAAUGUGCUGUGGCAAACCCGGCCCCA
rnacentral:SRP_RNA from 1 species